AUUGAACGCUGGCGGCAGGCCUAACACAUGCAAGUCGAGCGGAGCGGCGGACGGGUGAGUAAUGCCUAGGAAUCUGCAUGGUAGUGGGGGAUAACGUCCGGAAACGGGCGCUAAUAUCGCAUACUAUCAGAUGAGACUAUGUGGGAUUAGCUAGUUGGGGGGGUAAAGGCCUACCAAGGCGACGAUCCGUAACUGGUCUGAGAGGAUGAGCCGUCAAACUGGAACUGAGACACGGUCCAGACUCCUACGGUAGGCAGCAGUGGGGAAUAUUGGACAAUGGGCGAAAGCCUGAUCCAGCCAUGCCGCGUGUGUGAAGAAGGUCUUAGGAUUGUAAAGCACUUUAAGUUGGGAGGCGUUACCAACAGAAUAAGCACCGGCUAACUUCGUGCCAGCCGCCGCGGUAAUAC
rnacentral:rRNA from 1 species